rnacentral:lncRNA from 1 species
UGGGGUUUCGCCAUGUUGGCCAAGCUGGUCGCAAACUCCUGGGCUCAAGCAAUCCUCCCUCCUUGGCCUCCCAAAGUGCUGGGUUUACAGGUGUGAGGCACUGCCCCUGGCCGCCUUCUUUUUUUUAAAGUCCUCAAGAAAUUAGAAAUUUUGAUAAUGAAAACAAUAAUCAGAAUCUUUUCUAUUUUAUGAAAUUUCUAGGUCUUUGCUUUGCUGGUAACAUUCAAUUAACAUCUUUGUGAAAGUAAGAUUGCCCCUCCAAUGCCCCCAGCCUCCUAUUCCCCACUUCCGAUUUCCACUGCUCCUUAAUGUGUGGGAGAUGAUAAUGCCUUGUAUACAUAUAACUUAUGCCUGGAGGAACAGAAAACAGUUUGAACACUUUGUCUAAUGAGUCCCUAGUUUUCCUCAAGGUAGGCGGAGGAAGGUGAGCUGCACAUGGGCCCAGUGGAUCUCUGCGUGACAAGCACUGAGUCACCAAGUGAGUCACUGGUGAGGCGGGAGGGAGUGGUCCACCCAGGCUAGCAUUCUCAGGCUAGCGCUCUCAGAAUGUUUUCACAAUAUCCCAAGGUCUCCACAAGUGUUUCAUGAGGUUACUGUAAGAUUCAUGUAUCUCACAAUCAAAUCAGAAUGAAUUCGAAACAACAAAGCAAAAAGACAAAACCACAACCAUUUGGGGAGGAUUUCUUAGGACACCUUAGAGAACAGAUCAUUCUAGGGCAGUGUUGUAGCUCAGGAAACUUUGAGACACAACUCUUUUUAUCCACCUUCCUUCUUUCUCUUUCCUUCCCCCUUCUCUCCUUUCUUUCUCAAUUUCUGAUGGGCCCAAUCCUGGAACGAGGCCAUUUAGGGAGACGAAGUGGGGAAGUACAGCAGCUCUGUUUUCAAGAGAAGUUACUGGUCAACAUUCUUGGCCUUCUUUAGCAAUACCAUGAGCCCACUCUCAUCUCACUCUCCUCUCACUAUUACUAUCAUCUAAUAAUCAGAAUUCUUUAUUAAUCAGUCUAUUUUGAACAUCUGCUAUGUGACAACUGAUUACUGCCAAUGAUGACUCAGGAGUGAAACAUUUUCAACUGGCUCUGGAUGAUUGAAAUCCAGAUUUUACUGGGUGUUGGUGUUCAUGCUAAUCCUGGGAAAAGUGAGAACCCCCAUGACGUGACUAGCCAUGGUAGCAGUCUAAUAAACAACGUCUCUCAUUUGCUGGUGUUUGUGGAUCAUGGAGUUCCCAGUUCCAGUACUUCCUAGGCAGUGAGACUUCUAACCAUUGAGCCAUCUGGAGGCCUGCUGGGACCUGGCCAUUAGUGUACAAAACAUUGAAGCAAUGGUGAAGAUGUGGGAGAGCAAGUGAUCAAAGCUGAGAAGCAAGACAAAGUGACAGGAACUAACAUCUAUUGAGCAUCUAGUGAGUGCUAAGUAUUGGGCUACGGGCUUUAGUGCAUGUGGUCUCAUUUGUCACUGAGAAAUGACAACUGACCAGUGACAGAAUCCUCACCAGAAAAGGUCUCAGGUAAUGUGGUUUCAGAAGAAACCAGUAUGGGUUAGGGUGCUUACACUGGCAAUUCAUAGAAAAUGUAAAAACUUUCCUAAGUGAUAAGGACACUUGUUGGCUCAGGAGAGGAGAGGCCAGUGGCUUAUUGAUGCUUGUAAGCCCCCAGGUUACCUCUAUCUCUGCCUAUGAGGGUUCACUCGCUCCUGGGGCUUGCUGUCUUUGUGAGCAUAGAAUGGUUGCCAACACAUUAAUGCUAGUGCUCCCUUAUCUGUGUCCAGAGAGUGCGAGUGAGUGAGAGAGAGCGGGUUUCUAGUACUUCUUCCGGAAAAGCAAUGUACCUCCUUCCUAGAAGCCUCUUAGCCAUCCCAUCUUGUUGCCUAGAACUGGGUGACACGGCCAAUCUUCAACUCUAAUAAGGAGGAUGGAAUUACCUUUACAGGUUUAGACUACCAAGGGGGUACUCUGGGAGUUAAGAGUGGGGUCAGUGGGCAACUUGGAAGCAAGGUGUAUUCAAAUGGAAAUCUUGCUUUUGGUAAGAAGGAGCAAGCCCUGAGCUAUACAGAAGUGAAAUCAGGUUCUAUGCAAUGAUAUUUAGAAAGAAAUUCAUCAAAAAGAUGUAAACAAUUUCUGCUUUUACAGGGGAAAACAACAAUUACCUGGGUUGUUCACUCAAAUUUCACUCCUAAGCUCCAGAUAUAUUUGGUAACCUUAUGCAUUUUAAAUACAACAAAUCCAAGAUGGCAGCCGUCACUGCUUUGUUCUACCUCAUCAAAUGUGCUCUUCCUACUGGGUUCUCCGGUUUGUUCAAUGACACCACCCAAGCAUAGACACCCAAGCAACAAAUUAAAACCCUUUCUGCCAAACUCUUAUACCUGGAUAUGCCAGGGUGUCUCUGAAGUUAUUUGUCAUAAAGGGACAAAGCCUAGUUGGCAAAGCCAAUGUUGAUAUCAACAUAUUUGGAAUCACCUUCAAGCAUGUUUCAACGUGUCUAUGACUACCUGUCUUUUAUGUAGAUUUUAUUUUAUUUGGGCCAACUGCAGCAUCUAGAACACAUGACCUCAAGUAAGCAAGUUUAGUCCUUGCAUUUUUCUUCUGGGGCUAACCUGUGCCUGUGAGAGAGACAGCUAAAGUUAAAGGCACAUGCCUGGCUGCAUGCUGAAAGGAGCAAGAGUUUCACCUGGUGGUAGCAAGAUCGCUCUGGGGGCAGGUGGUGGUGAGUGUUGGCCGAACUUCAGAAAUUUUCUGUAGUUGUAACUGAUUUUGCCUGGUUGUGCUGUGAGUGCCACACAGUGUUGUGCACAUCUCUGGAUGUAAAUGUGGAAUUUUAAAACUUUGCUAUCUGGCUUUAGUCAACCUAAAACAUGGACUUUUUUAGCCAGGCGCUACCCCGGCUCACCAGACAGGUUUGCCACAGGGAAAAAAAAAAUGAAGUGUAAGUUUGGCUUCAAUUUACUUACAGACCAUAACAUAGACCCUCAGAAUAUGCUUUUGGUUUUUCUUGGUUGCUGUUUAUUGCUGUAUUAAUUCCCUAGGGCUGCCAUAACAAAUUACUAAAAACUGAUGGCUUAAACAACAGAAAUUUAUUGUGCCACAGUUCUGGAGGCUGGAAGUCUGAAAUCACGCUCCCUCCAAAGGUUCUGAGGGAGGAUCCUUUCAUCAUUUUCCAGCUUCUGGUGGCUCCCGUGUUCCUGAGACUAUUCUGUUUUCAGCCUCCAUCUUCACAUAACCUUCUCUGUUUCUCCUUCUUCUGUCUCUCAUAAAGACACUUAUGGACACUGGAUUUAGGGCCCACCUCAAUAAUCCAGGGUAAUCUCAUCUCAUCUCUUAAUUACGUCUGUAAAGACCAUUUACCCAAAUAAGGUCACAUAUACAGAUUCCAGGAUGUGGACCUAUAUUUUUGGGGCCAUGAUGAAACUCACUAGAGUUGCCAUGCUUCUCCUGAGAUCAUGAAUAUUGAGACAUUCAGCACGGUUCGUGGCUUCCAAAUCCAAGGAUCGGUGCCACCGCUCAGAAGAGCUGCUUCAAGGAAGGUGAGUCUCAAACAUCCAAAAUGGCAGGCUGUAUCCCUCAUAAUCGUCUUGUUUCCUUGUUGUUUUAGUUAUCACCUGGAGAGCUGUACAUGCACAAGAAAUAACUUUUGGGAGAUCCCAACUCCAAGAUGAUGAUUAAGGUGGGCCCUAAUCCAAUCUGACUGGUGUCCUCGUAAGAAGAGAAGAUGAGGACACAGACAAACACAGAGGGAAGACUGUGUGAGGGCACAGGGAGAAAAUGACUCUCUACAACAAGGAGAGAGGCUUCAGAAUAAACCAAUUCUGCUGACACCUCUCAAACUUCUAGCCUCCAGAAGAGUGAGGAAAUCCAUUUCUGUUGUAUAAGCCACCCAGUUUGUGGUGUUUAUUAUGGCGGCCCUAGCAAGGGAAUACAGAGGGAGACAGGUUCAGACAUGUAAAGCGAGCCUUUAAAAGACACCACGUGCACCAGUGGAGCCCCAGGCCCAGGCCCCACAGACCUUGCCUCCUGGUCCAGUCCUUACUUUAUCUCAGGAUGUGACAUUGCGUUUCUUAUGGAAAAGAUCUCACUAACCUACUUCAUUUAGGAAUGCAAUUUAAUUGGCAACUCAACGGUGAUGUCGCUUCUUUUGCCAUUUUUCUGCAACACCAAAGGAAAAAAUUUUAAGCCAGCUUUUUUUAGCUGCAAAGAUGACAAAUGUUAUCAACAAUAUCCAACCAGAGUAUAUUUUCAUCCCUUUUCAUCCCGUCACGAUAAGCCAGAAGUAUUUGUUGCCAGAAAUGGAAAACAGCUUGUUCAUCAGCCAGAUGAUCGCAGUGCUCAGAAGUUCCACUCGUUUGCCAUGUGUGAAAAGUUAAGAAUUGAAAACAGACAGGCUUGCUCUGCUUAAACCGUGAGUUCUGUGAAGCAAGAGAAAGAGAAAUUUGGAUACUAGGAGAAGAGUUGUGAGAUGGUUUCGACGGCAAAGUGAACAGGGCCUUUUCACAUUAUUCUGAGAUGGGACCUCUGGGUUGAUUUGAUAGUGGAUAUGACUGUUCUCUAAUUGGCUAGAAGAUGAGUCUAAAGUUACCAACCACCGGAGGAUACUUUUGUGUUCUAGAACAAAUUCCAAUGUCCUACACAAAUGUGAUGCUGGGGACUUCUCUGUUACCUGACACCAAAUUUCCUAGACAUUUCCAUUAUACUUCCUCUUCCUGAUUAUCUUGAGUGGGAAAUCUCCAUGAGUUCUUAGUAGAAGGCAGAAGUAUACAGUGGACCUGGGCCUUCAUUAGAAACCAUGAGACUUCAAAUGAGAGCCUGAAUUAUUCCUUUAUGUUUUCAUUUAUGUGAGAAAAUAAGGGAUAUUGUUGACUUUUUAUGAGAUUAAGUUACCCAGUUAUCCAUCCUAUUAUUAUAAGUUUUAGUGUUUGCAAAGAGAUUUCUGAUCGUUUUUAUUAGUCUCUUUGUAAUAGCUUCAGGGACUUUUUGACAAAAGAGAGAACCAUUUUAAGCAGUAGAAAUGUAGGCUUACAGAGGUCAAAUGGUUAAUUUGAGAUUGCCCAGCAAAACAAAACAAUACGAAAAAGAACACCUGAAGAAAAAUCAAGAUUCAUACUCUGGGCUGUAAUUACCAUUCUGUAGGUUUCCGGAAGCUCAUAUAGUCACAUUACAUUUUGUUCAUGUCGUUAGAAAUCAUUUGCAGUUCAACACUUAGAUUCCCUCCUGUGUUUGAUUUGCAAGGUCUUGGAAGUUAACUUGAACUCAAGGAUUUGUCUACCUAAGAGAGGCAAAUAGAAAAACCCCUAAAGCCACCUGACCUGAUUCUUCUUUGUUAAGACCAGCUCAGAAUAGAGUGAAAUAAGCAAGCUGCAGAAAGACAAUGCUACGUUGAGUUCCACUUCCUCUUGAUAAAUUCAGAACAGCCAGUCCAUCUUAAGGGUGGAUGUUUUUAGCAGCAGGGAGUGGUAGUUGGAUGGAGGCAAGCGGAUGGAAAGGAGGAGAGAGGAGAAGAGAGACAAACUCAGGUGCCCCAGAAAAGUCCACUUUCUCCGUCCCCAUUCAGGCCACCUUCAUCUUCCCCCACCCUCUGCUGGCCUUUCUGGGGGCUCAGGUUUUGAGCUGACUGAGCCCUCAGCGGGAGACCACAACGCAUUUUCAGAUGAAAGGACAACCCUGAAGGUACCUAUUACAUGUCUGUGAGCAGAGAAACAAAGGCCCGGCUGCUGACACCCUCCCACUAACUUGAGUUUUAAUGGUAGGUUUGAUUUCCUCACGCUUAGCUGAAAGAAAGGGAAAAAACUAAGCGGAAAGAACGAGGGUGUGGGUAUCUGUGGUGGUGGGGAAACGACAGCUGUUGUAUUCAUGGUUAAUCAGGUGUGUCUGGCUUUGUGUCGCAUCUGUCUGCUACUGUUGCCAGGCCACAUGUGAAAGGGAACCGAGGGGAAGGGGCCAUUCAUGUUCAAAGCCAGUAGCACUGACCUCUGCCUCGUUCUCUUCAGGGUAGGAAAGCUUGUCUAUUUAACUUUCCCUAUUAUAGGAAGCUGUAAUUCUACUCUAUUAGCCCACCCUAACCAUUUUGGCCUGACAAAUGCAAGCUGCAUCCAGAAUGCCAUAAAUCUGCAUGGGAAGGAGUCCUCCUCCCUCCUUCCCAUUUUUUUCCUUUGGGGUUCGGUUCGAUUUGUCAAACAAGAGAAAACCAGCAAGAGAGAGAAAAAUGAGAACUCAGGGCAUCUUGGUUCACCUUCCAUCUUAAAUGGGCCUAGGGACCGAGAUGGGGGCUGGGAGGCACCCCAAGGUCAAGCCUGGAGCACUGGUUCCCCCUCCAGAUCUGUUUAUCUCACGAGUCCCACAUGCGUGUGGUGAUUGCGUCAGACCUUAGUCAUCUCCCUGGCACCAAAUCCUCCUCCUGGAUCCUUGAUCCCCCUCCUCCUUCUCUGCCCACAUACAGAGGGACCAUGAUGGAGGAGGGGAGGCUUCUGGCUUCUCCUGGAGCCAGGCCUGUGUUCUAGAUAUUGCUGGCCCAGGCCUGCCAGGCACGACUCUCCUCUCUGGCAUAUGGAGAAACAGCUGAAAUGGAAACAACCCCCAAUGCACCACAUUGCACUAAAGCUUAGCGUCAGAGUUCAAAGGACUACUCCAAUUGGAGAUCAAACUGAUCCCUCCCACUGUGGCCUUUUUUGAGGGGGUCCAUCACAACCCUUCGGGGGUGCUUUUCUCCAGCACUUCCGCUUCAGGGCCAGCCCUUGUGUUUCUUGGAGUAAAUGAUUGCUGUCAGCAUUUCCAACACCAUGGAGUUCUGGCUCCAACUUUGGCUUCCUGGAGAAUGGGCCAUCAUAGACUUAUUACAGGGUUCAGAAGAGCUUGCCAUCUGCAAUCUAUUUUAGUUGUCACUGCCUCUUAAAAUAGGCACUAACUUUUAUCCCAUCACAUUAAUUCCUCUCAUGUUGAGGCUAGAGUCGAGCUUUUGGGGUGUGUGUAUGCACGUAACUAUCUUUUUAAAAUCAGAAGGGUUAUUUUCCUAAGACAUGGGUUAUCAGCAGCACAGCUGAGUUUCCUCUUUCUACUGGCCUGUGCUGAUGAAGUUGGUUGCGUUAUUGACCUGCAGCUUUGGGGUCAGAAUGCUUUUGGUUCCCUGAUGUAGAAGGACAUUGCAAAACUAUCCCAGUGCCCUGUGCACUGUCUUUCUCUCUCUGAUACUCCCCAGAUCUCCAAAUUUUAAUGGUGUCAAUAGACAUAACUCAUGCUCCUGCUAGAAGCCUAGCACCCUGCUAGGCUCUGUGAGGACUUUGAGAAUUUGUCAUCUUGUGAGACGCCAUGAAUAAUGCAAGAAAUAGCAAAACAGGUCUGAAAAUGAAGUCUAACUAAAAAGUGUACAAAUCCUAAGUGUACAGCUCUAUGAAUUAUUACUAAGUGAAUAUGCUCACGUAACCAUCACCUAGAUUAAGAAACAGAACAUUACCGCCACUGGAAACUUCUUAAAGUUCUACCUAGGUGGACACCUUGUUAUAUCUAAAACAAUUCUACAACGUGAUUGGGAGUGAGAUUUAGUUCUUAAUUAUGUGGCUAUGGAAAUGUAGAUUUUGAAAGGUUCCCAUUGGCUGGAAGAGAUUUGCCCAUGGGAAGAUUUUGAGUAUGCCCUGGGCUGGCCUGCUGAAGUUGAACUUUAGAGAACCCGGGCGGGCUGGCUGUGCAAUGCUCUUGGCUCCAGAGAAGGACAUGCAAGAUUCUGGCAUCCUUUUUAAAAAAAUUGUGGUAAAAUAUACAUAACAUAAAAUUAAUCAUUGUAAUCAUUUUUAAGUGUGCAGCUCAGCAGUGUUAAGUACAGAUUGUUGCGCAAUGAUCACCACCAUCCAUCCCCAGAGCUCUUUCAUCUUGAAAAACGGAAACUCAAUACCCAUUAAACAGCAACUCCCUAUUUCCCUCCACCCCCAUACCCGGUAACUACCAUUCUACUUUCUGUCUUUCUGAAUUUGACUACUGUAGGUACCUCACAGAAGUAGAAUCAUGCCAUAUUUGUCUUUUUGAGACCGUUUUAUUUCACUGAGCGUAAUGUCCUCAAGGUUCAUCCAUGUCAUGGCAUGUGUCAGAAUUCCCUUCCUUUUUAAGGCUGAAUAAUAUUCCACUGUACAUGUGUACCACAUUUAGUUUACUCAUUCAUCCAUCCAGGGACUCUUGGGUCACUGCCACCUUUUGGCUCCUGCAAAUAAUGCUGCUUUGAACAUGGGUGUACAAAUUACCCUUAUGCACCUUUCCAUUCUUUUGGGUGUAUACCUAAAAGUGGGAUUGCUGGAUCAUAUGGUAAUUGUAUCUUUAGUUUUGGAGGAAUUACUAUAUCAUUUGCUGUAGCAGCUCACUAUUCUGGAAUCCUUUUCACCUGGACCAUUUCCUCCUGACCAGCCUCCUGGAUGGCAUUAGAGGGAGCCUGACACGUGGAUUGAGGUGGUGGCAAUAGUGAGGAUGGUGGUCUGUACUCUGUAUGUGCCCGUUGUUGGGAAUCUAGAGCAAAUGGGGCAGGAUGGAGUGUGACACCACAAUCCAUGGUGGAAACUUGAGAGUUCACUGAAUAGAGGGGGAGGAAUUUAUUUAUUUACUUAUUUUUAUUUUUGAGACAGGGUCUUGCUCUGUCACUUAGGCUGGCAUGCAGUGGUGCAACAUAGCUCACUGCAGCCUUGAACUCCUGGGCUCAAGAGAUGUUUCCACCUCAGUCUCCUGAGCAACUGAGACGACAGGCCCACAUCACCACACCUAGCUAUUUAAAAAAAUUAUUUUUAUUUUGUAGAGAUGGGGUCUCAUUAUGUUGCCCAAGCUGCUCUUGGUCUCAAACUCUUGAGCUCAAGUGAUGCUCCCACCUUCAGCCUCCCAAAGUGCUAGAUUUACAGACGUGAGCCACUGUGCCCAGUCUGUGGGAAUAGUUCAUUUUGCACAAAGAUAAAUGCUUUUCCCCCUAAUUUGUGGGAGACUGAGGUUAAAGGAGUCCUUAAUAACCAGGUAUUCAGAGGCCUUCUGCCUGUUCAGUGUAUCACCUCCAGAUUUUUGGGGGGCCUUUAGGCGUAAGUGUUGAGAUAUUUAUAGAACAGAUUAUGAGCUUUUAAAUAGAUUACCUAAAAAAAAAGAAGAAGAGAGAGAGUGAGGGAAAUGGUAGCCAGUAAACCAACUGAGGAAGGCACACACCUUUUGCCUGAUAGGGAUGUCGAGGAGAGGGAUGCCACUUGAAUACGAAGGUCGUUCUUGGGCUCACGGGUGCAGUCGUUUGGGUUUAGUGCUGGCUGCUGAUGCCAGAAGCACUCAGUAUUGAACAUUCAGGGGCUUCUUCAAACAAUUUUAAGUAUUUCUGUUUUCUAAAUCUUGAUGCUUUAUUGCUAGGGAUAAGCUCACAUUAAUAUCCACUGGAAGGAAGAACUAUGAGGAUCACCAGGGUGAGGACCUUUAGAACUGAAGAAGGACACAUUAUUAUUGCUAAAAGAAUAUCUGCUUCUUCCCAGUUCCUUCCCUUUGGCCUUCUCCCAUUUCAUUAUAGGAAAAAAAAGCUCCAUGAAAUUACAUAUUGUUUUCUUAAAUUUAAAAGAUACGUAUGGCUGCCACCUAAAGUCUGUCAAGGAAAAAAAAUGUCCUACCCCAAAUGGUAACCAUUAUUUAACAGUUGUUUUAUUUUCUUCCAAAACGCUCUGUAUAUAUUCACUGUGCUUUUGAGGCAGCACAGUUUAGUUCUAAUUACUUACAACCCAAACACCACCAAUUAUAAAAAUAUACAGAUACUACCCGUAUGCAACUCUUUACCAUUAUAAACUACUUUCACAUAUAAUUGAACCUUAUCAAAAUUGAAAUUAGUAGUAGUCUUUUUUUUUUUUUUUUUGAGAGGGAGUCUGGCACUGUUGCCCAGGCUGGAGUGCAGUGGUGUGAUCUUGGCUCUUGGCUCACUUCAACCUCUGCCUUCCGGGUUCAAGCGAUUCUCCUGCCUCAGCCUCCUGAGUAGCUGGGAUUACAGGCAUGCGCCACCAUGUCUGGCUAAUUUUUGUAUUUUUAGUAGAGACUGAGUUUUGUCAUGUUGGCCAGGCUGGUCUCAAACUCCCAACCUCAGAUGAUCUACCUGCCUUGGCCUCUGAAGUGCUGGGACUACAGGUGUAAGCCACCAAGCUUGGCUGAAAUUGGUAUUAUUCUUAUUUAAUAGAAAGGAGAGGCAGGGGAGAUUAAGACACUUGUUCAAAUUUACACCACAUGUUAGAAAAUGGAGUUGGGACAAGAAUCCAAGUCAUUGAAGUAAACUGUAGGUCCACAAGCCUUUCUCCUCCACCAUAGAAUCUGGAGUGAACAUUGGAGGCCAAAGUGCCUUACAGAAAUACUUAAAGGAGCUACCAAGUCACUGGCUUCAUAAAGCUGACUAAUCUUCAUGUGUCCAUGGUGUCAGUUUAUGAAACCCUUUAUCUUAUACGAGGAGGCACACUGGACUCACUAAGAAUUGCAAUGAGAAUUGAGUUUAUUGGAAUAGGUAUAACCUCAAUAGAAUCAUAGAGAAGACAACUGAGAACCUGGAAAACAUUUUUAGUAUUCAUGAGUGUGUUGGCACCAGCUUAUUUAUAAAGUUGUUUUGACAACGUGUGUGCCUUAAACUUCUAUUUAUAAGAAGUAAAAUGGAAUCAUCUUCUUACCCUGCUGAGUUGCAAAUUCUGUUUUAGGGCAAAUUUUUAAUCUGCCUCUUUAAUAUAGAGCAAUAGAUAUAUUUUUUUUCCUGCUGAGUUUAUUUUUUCAAGUACAUAAGUUAAUUAAGAACCAUUUACCUGAAGAUAUGUUUUCUUCCUUAUGAAGUACAUAAUGAGAACAUGGCCACAGAUGUUAGGUAGUGACAGAAAUGCCUGUCUGGAAGGUGAAUUCUUUAAAUUUUUUUUAUCUCACAAUAGCUGUAUAGAGAAUUGUUGAUGGUUCAUGUUUUAUUUCCCUUUGUUAUAAAAUUUUCAUAGUUUGCAAAAAUAAAAGUUAUGGGCUAUGUGUCCUUUAUUUGAUACUCCCUGUGAGAAAGGGUAAGAUAGAAGAUUCAGUAAUGGCCAGUGUUGGUGGAAGAGACUGCUGCUUGUAACCAGUAGAGAGGAACGGGGGGUGGGGAAGUUUACUUCAGCACUGUAUUGAUUAGAAUUAGAUUCUUCUUUAUAGGAGACAGAAAUAUCUUAUAUAAGUGGCAUAAAAAUAUGAAAGUAAAUGUGUCUUUUACAUAAAAGAAAUUCAGAGUUGCAGUCUAUGGCUGGUAUGGUUCCUCCAUGAGGUUUUCAGAUACUCAGUUUCCUUCUAGUUCAUUAAUCUGUCAUUCUUAGGUUAUAGCUUUUGUCUUUAUUGUCUUCAUGAUUCAAGAUGGCUGCUAGAGCUCCAGCCAUCAUUCCUUCCUUCCUUCUUUCCUUCCUUCAUUUCUUUCUUUCCUUCUUUCCUUCUUUCUCUCUUUCUCUCUCCUUCCUUCCUUCCUUCCCCCCUUCCUUCCUUCCUUCUUUCUUUCAUUCUUUUGUUCUUUCUUGCUCUCUCACCCAGACUGGAGUGCAGUGGCACAAUCACAGCUCACUACAGCCUCUAACUCCUGGGCUUAAGUGAUCCUCCUGCCUCAGCUUCUCGAGUAGCUGAGGCUACAGUUGCACAGUACUAUGCCUGGCUAAUUUUUAAAUUCUUUGUAGAGAGAGGGUCUUGCUUGGUUUCCUGGGCUGGUCUUGAAAUCCUGGCCUUGAUCUCCUGCCUUGGCCUCCCAAAGUUGCUAGGAUUACGGAUAUGAGCCACUGCACCUGGCUCAUGUGUGUGUGUGUGUGUGUGUGUGUUUUUACAGAGGAACUUCCUAGAAAUUCCACACAAUACUUCUGCUUAUGUUGUAUUGUCCAGAACCUAGUCAUAUGGCCACAUUUACCUGCCAGGUAGGCUGGGAAAUAUAUGUUGUGGAUGGCAAUAAGCUGAAAUAAAAAUUGAAGUUCUGUUAUUGAAAAGGGGAAAAAUGGAUUUUUUUUUCCAGGAAGAACUUUUUAUUAAUAUAAAGUUUUAAGAUAUUCACCAGUCAGAUCUAAACUUACUCAUUAAACUCUAUUUUUAAAAAAUGAACACACUGUACUGCAGUGAAAGGCAGGAACGUGGUUUUAGACACUGAUUGAAAACCAGUGUCUUCACGCACUGAGAACAGGAAACAUUCUGCACUGCGAACGAAGUGCACAGUCAACAGGAAGACACACACACACGACAGAAAGCCCCCAGUGUGAGUGACCGUGUACCUGGGCAGGUGACAGGAUGCCCAGGCCGUGGCUUGGACAUGGCUGCCACGCUGCGAUGCCUGCUGGGCCCCACAAGGACUGGGGACACACACAGAGCCCAGCUAUACACUGUGAUAGAGUCCACCCAUUUUGCUACCCUAUACCCAUGUGCACUGUUCUCCUACCUUCCUGCUACCUGGAUUGUGAUUGUAAGGCCUGGAUUCCAAGAUGUUAACUUGAUAAUAAAAGCCACACACAAUAGAACAGUAAGAUGCAAGGCACAUGCAUCCCUGGCACUGUGGAGCUGUGGACAGACUAGCUCUAGAUUUCCACGUGAGAGAGAAAUACCUCUCUAUUUUGAUUAAACCAUUUUGCUAGAGUUUUGAUGGUUGCAGCUGAGCCUAAUCUUAACAGAUACAAGCAUAAUAUAAACUUAUAAAAUAGUGUUCUUUUUAAGAUUGUGUCUUACUUUGCCUACCAAUGCAGGUGGACUGACCAUCUGCCUAUCCAGCCUGGCCUACCAUGUGAUACUAGGUAUACGAAGUUGGCUCAGAAGUUAAUUUCACUCACGGGAGCUUCUGUUCUAGGAAGAACAAACAAACCAAUGCAGUAAAGGGACUCCCAUUGCUUUAAUGGAAAUCUGUAUAAAAGAGAGUGGUGCCCAGAGAUAUUUGCUAUAUGCUCUACUGCCAUCUUAGACUAGGAAAAACCAAAACCAAAACAAUGCUGACCAUAGCAUAUUUUUUUCAUCAUUGACAUUAUCUUUAUAUUAAUCACUUGUAAUUAUUCCUUGAAUAUACAAAAUCUGACUAUUGGUUUUUGUUUAUAUUGAGAGAAUGAUGACAUCAGAUUAAACAUUAAUUUUCCCUUGAGAAUCUUUCAAUACAAUUGGAGUAGAAUUUUUUUUUUUUGAGACAGGGUCUUGCUGUGCCACCCAGGCUGGGGUGCAGUGGGGCAAUCAUGGCUCACUGCAGCCUCAACCUCCUGGGCUCAGGUGAUCCUCUUGCCUCAGCCUCCUAAGUAGCUGGUACCACACGCGUGCACCACCACACCUGACAAAUAUUGGAAAAUUAUUUAUAGAGAUGAGGUCUCCCUAUGUUGUUCAGACUGGUCUCAAACUCCUGAACUCAAGCGCUCCUCUUGCCUCGGACUCUUAAAGUGCUGAGAUUGCAGGUGUGAGCCACUGCACCCAGCCUGGAGCAGAAUAUUUUUACAUAAAACUAAAGAGAGGUUGGCGACUUAUAAUCGUGUUCAGGAGGUAGCAAAUGUUUUACUUAGGUGAGAAGAAAUAUACUUUUCGUGUUGUCAUAGAGUAAGCCCAAUCCUUAUUUACUUUUGUUACCAUUGGCAUGACAACAAUCAUUGGAGCAUCUUUGUCUUCCAAACAUUUCUUAUAUUAUUUACUUUUUCAUAGCAACUUAAAACGGAAGAUCAUAGAGUUUAGGUGACUUGCCCUAGGACACGCCCUUGGAAAAUAGUAGAGCCAGAAUUUGAAUUCAGUUCUGGGUCUCUUUUUUUUUUUUGAAUUCCAUUCAUGUGUUGAUAAUAGCUGCUAUGGAGACUUAGCCAGGAAAGCAGAUGUGGAUGGUUAGCGGAAGCUAAAGAGGAAAAAGGUUAAGCUUUUUUUUUGAAGUUUUCCUGCUCAGCUAGGAAAACAUUGCUGCAGUUAUCAGGUAAUUGAAGUGUCAACGUGACGCUGUCAGAAAGGUUGGAUGAAUUUGUUCCUGUUGGCCUAUAUUUGGCUGUUAAGUGAGUUGCACAAUUGCAGUUUUCAGGUUAAGAAACUCUCUGGCAGUCGUGGGAGUUCCUCUUUAGAAGCAACUCUGCUAACAUGCAAAAUCAAUGUCACUGAAGAUUUUGCUUAUGUUACUGCCUCCAACACUGUUUGAUCCUUACAUAAAAGAGACAUUUGUCAUUUGACAGGACUAAGACUGGGAAAGGUUGUGGAGGCUUCCCCCAGCUGUGGUGCACAAAUAUCUACACAUUCUGUCUGCUUAAGUUUCUUUGGAAUGUUUUCAUUGCAAAGGCUGGGUCACUGAGGGGGCCUGCCCUUGCCCUUUGACCUUGGUAAAUUACUGCCCCCAGUCCUGAUGAGUUUGCAGGACAAACUUCCAUCAUCUUCCCAACCUUGGCAAUGAGGGAGAAGGCUGGACCUCCCUGGCUUUGUUUUAAUCCAUUUUCACCUCCCUUUUCUUUUUCUUUCUCUUAAUUCUUGUUGUUCUUCCUUUGAGUGACUACCAGCCCCUAUGUAACUCUUUCUCUUUUUUUUCUACCCCUCUAUCUUGGCUGCCACUCAACUUCAAAGCUCACUUCAGCAGGAGAAAUGUGUGAGUUGUAUGGAAAUGCUGCCCUCUGGACUUUCAGUAUUUUAACCCCCGGACUUGAUUCAACUGCUUCCCAAAUGAUUGGAAAGAAAUAUCCCAAGCCCAGAACUGGAGAAACCCUUUUUUUUUCAGUGACCAAAUAGAUUUUGGUGUUGUGCCUAUGUACCUUUGAUCAAUUCAUAUUUCCAAUUUGGGGACAUGCUUUUUCUAAAGACAAGUGUCUUUCACUUAGAGGAACUUAGCUGAUGGAUGACUUGUACAGAUCCAAUUAGUCUUGUUUCAGAUUAUAGGCAUUCAGAAAGAGGUAUCUUUUAAUGGUUUUUUGGGACCGUGGGAAUUUUGUUACAAUAUCUGUCACAUCUUCCAGUAAAAAAGUGAUAGCAAUUUUUUUCUCUUUGGAGGUCUUUUUAAAAUGCCUUCUUUCCUCAUUGCUACAGAUAUGUUCUUGCAUAAAUCUUUGAAGCAAGCCAAUGUCUUCUAGAAUCUCAUUAAAUUUCAUGACUUUCCAUUCCUUGUGUUGAAAAUAUAUUCCAUUUUUUACAUAACAUUUUAAACAUUAUCCCUUAAAAAGGUAAAGGAUGUUCAUAGGGAAUCAGAAAGUUUGUAAAACACAAAUAAUAAAAAUUAAAAUAAUCCAUAAUGAUAAAAUUGUCACGUUUUAUCCUGUUUAUUUUGCUUAGAGAGUGAUAGAGCCUUUGUUGGGUG